CAGCCUCACCUGGACAGGGCAGGUGCCAAGACACAAUGUAGACACCAGCCUCACUUGGACAGGCAGGUGACCAAGACGAUGUAGACACAGCCUCACUUGGACAUGGCAGGUGACCAACAGACGAUGUAGACACAGCCUCACCUGGCAGGCAGGUGACCAAGACGAUGUAGACACAGCCUCACUUGGACAGGCAGGUGACCAAGACGAUGUAGACACAGCCUCACAUGGACAGGCAGGUGACCAAGACAUGUAGACACAGCCCUCACUUGGACAGGCAGGGUGACCAAGACGAUGUAAGACACAGCUUCACUGGACAGGAGGUGACAAGACAAUGUAGACACAGCCUCACUUGAUGCAGGUGACGAAGACGAUGUAGACACAGCCUCACUUGGACAGGCAGCGUGACACCAAGACGAUGUAGACACAGCCUCACCUGGGACAGGGCAGGGUACCAAGACGAUGUAGACACAGCCUCACUUGGACAGGCAGGUGACCAAAGACGAUGUAAGACACAGUCUCACCUGGACAGGCAGGUGACCCAAGACGAUGUAGACACAGCCUCACCUGGACAGGCAGGUGACCAAGACGAUGUAGACACAGCCUCACCUGGACAGGCAGGUGACCAAGACGAUGUAGACACAGCCUCACUGGACAGGCAGGUGAC
rnacentral:lncRNA from 1 species